rnacentral:misc_RNA from 1 species
GGAAGGAUCAUUAACACGUAUCCAACGUUAAACCCCCCGUGCACACAGCGACCUGCUCCCCUCAAUUUCGGUCUUUUGGCAAUCCCUGGUAAAUCAUCGCCGAACAGUUUUGAUUCAAGGACAUCCAAAGGGCCGGGGUAGGGUAUUAAAGUAGUAGUCCAUGCAAAGCAACCUGGUUUCUUUGAAGCAGAAAGUGUGAUGGCGUGAGCCGGAGAACGGACCGAGUGGUAGUUCAAAGGUGCCUUCUGUCGCGCACUGUGGAAAGGAAGACGCUUUACGAAUCACUGUCCAACACGGUCAGUGACCGGGUUCCUGGUCCUAGACCCCAUAUUCACCACCACAGUCGCAGACGAGGUAGGGAUACGUCCCUACCACCAAAUAAAUACUUGAACAACUGUUAACAAUGGAUAUCUUGGUUCUCGCAACGAUGAAGAACGCAGCGAAAUGCGAUACGUAAUGCGAAUUGCAGAAUUCAGUGAAUCAUCGAAUCUUUGAACGCAAAUUGCGCUCUCGGGUUACCCCCAAGAGCACACCUCUCUGAGUGUCGGUUAAACCAAAUGCCACCAAUUUAUUGGAGGGCGACAGACUGAGGGUAAGGGGUCUCGGCUUCUUUCCUUUGAAAACUCAGCCGCACAAUUGUGUGUGUCGGUGGCAAGUUGCUUUCACUUAAUUGUGAAUACAAUCCACUGACCCUAUGUUGUGUAGCCUCAAGAAACAAAUGUACAAAGAAGUGAAACCUAAGGGCUGGUAACAACUUUAGGCGAGCAACUUUGGACAUCUAUGAAUUAGACCUCAGAUGAAGUGGGAAGACCCCCUGAAUUUAAGCAUAUUAUUAAGGGGAGGAAAAGAAACUAACAAGGAUUCCCCUAGUAACGGCGAGUGAAGCGGGAAGAGCUCAAAUUUAAAAUCCGCCGGUCUAACAGCCUGUGGAGUUGUAAUCUAGAGAGGCUCUCUCAGUGCCAGCCUGGUUAUAAGUCCCUUGAAACGGGGCAUCAAAGAGGGUGAGAAUCCCGUAUUUGAGCCGGAGCUAAGUACGUACGAGGAGCUUUCCAAGAGUCGCGUUGCUUGGGAGUGCAGCGCUAAAUGGGUGGUAAAGUUCAUCUAAAGCUAAAUACUGGCGAGAGACCGAUAGCGAACAAGUACCGUGAGGGAAAGAUGAAAAGAACUUUGAAAAGAGAGUUAAAAAGUACUUGAAAUUGUUAACAGGGAAGGGGAGUCAACCAGUCAUUUCUAAGCUUCAUUCGCCUUUCUUUCGGGAGGGGUUACUUGAGGCUAAGAAGGGUCUGCAUCACUUAGUGGUCUGGCAGAAACUGUGUGAGUUGGUGCGUUUCCUCGGAUUCGUUUAACUUGUACGAUCUACCUUGUCGCUGGGUGAGGAAUCAAAAAACCGCCACCUUCGGGUGUUGGAUCUCUAGAGCCUGUUUGCCCUAGCGCGUGAGAGAACAAAGUUCUGUCUGUGCGAAAGGUGAAUACUGCUCCGGAUGAAUCUAAUGCUGUGUUUCGCGAUGCGGACGAAAUGGUUGUCUUCCACCCGUCUUGAAACACGGACCAAGGAGUCUAACAUAUAUGCGAGUAUUUGGGUGACAAACCCUGAUGCGUAAUGAAAGUAAAGAGCUGCAAAGCUUGAGGUAGGAAUCUCACCCUCGGGUGGGAGGCACUAUCGACCGAUCGUUCGCUUGCGAAAGAUUUGAGUAAUAGCAUAUCUGUUGGGACCCGAAAGAUGGUGAUCUAUGCCUGAACAGGGUGAAGCCAGGGGAAACUCUGGUGGAAGCUCGUAGCGAUACUGACGUGCAAAUCGUUCGUCUGAUUUGGGUAUAGGGGCGAAAGACUAAUCGAACCAUCUAGUAGCUGGUUCCCUC